CAGAGGGUGCGAGCGUUGUCCGGAAUCACUGGGCGUAAAGGGCGCGUAGGCGGCCUCAUAAGUCGGGGGUGAAAUCCUGUGGCUCAACCACAGGGCUGCCUCCGAGACUGUCGGGCUCGAGCACAGUAGAGGCAGGUGGAAUUCCCGGUGUAGCGGUGGAAUGCGUAGAGAUCGGGAAGAACAUCGGUGGCGAAGGCGGCCUGCUGGGCUGUUGCUGACGCUGAGGCGCGACAGCGUGGGGAGCAAACAGGAUUAGAUACCCUGGUAGUCCACGCCGUAAACGAUGGGCACUAGGCGUCGGGGGGAGCGACCCUCCCGGUGCCGUCGCUAACGCAGUAAGUGCCCCGCCUGGGGAGUACGGCCGCAAGGCUG
rnacentral:rRNA from 1 species